UAGGGAAUCUUCGGCAAUGGGGGGAACCCUGACCGAGCAACGCCGCGUGAGUGAAGAAGGCUUUCGGAUCGUAAAGCCCUGUUGUUAAGGAAGAACGAGUGUGAGAAUGGAAAGUUCAUGCUGUGACGGUACUUAACCAGAAAGGGACGGCUAACUACGUGCCAGCAGCCGCGGUAAUACGUAGGUCCCGAGCGUUGUCCGGAUUUAUUGGGCGUAAAGCGAGCGCAGGCGGUUAGAAAAGUCUGAAGUGAAAGGCAGUGGCUCAACCAAGGUAGGCUUUGGAAACUGUUUAUCUUGCGUGCAGAAGGGGGGGGUUGAAUUCCAUGUGUGGCGGUGAAAUGCGUAGAUAUAUGGGGGAACACCGGUUGCGAAAGCGGCUCUCUGGUCUGUAACUGGCGCUGAGGCUCGAAAGCGUGGGGAGCGAACAGG
rnacentral:rRNA from 1 species